UGUGUAGGCGGUUGUUUAAGUUUGGUGUGAAAUCUCCCGGCUCAACUGGGAGGGUGCGCCGAAUACUGAAUGACUCGAGUGCGGGAGAGGAAAGUGGAAUUCCUGGUGUAGCGGUGAAAUGCGUAGAUAUCAGGAGGAACACCGGUGGUGUAGACGGCUUUCUGGACCGUAACUGACGCUGAAACACGAAAGCGUGGGUAGCAAACGGGAUUAGAUACCCUGGUAGUCCACGCCCUAAACGAUGCACAUUUGGUGUGGGUCAUUCAGUUGAUCCGUGCCGGAGCUAACGCGUUAAAUGUGCCGCCUGGGGAGUACAGUCGCAAGGCUGAA
rnacentral:rRNA from 1 species